rnacentral:lncRNA from 8 species
AUGAGUAAAAUAGAGGAGCUGGAAGGACAACUGAAGGAGCUCAUGACUGAACAGGAGGGGGCAGCAGAGGACACAGAGAGACUGAAAAGUAGGCUGGAGAUCUGUCAGGAGGCAUGCUCGGCAAAUGCACUGGAGAAGGCCAUGACCUCACUACAGGAGGAGAGUGUGUCUCCAGCUCUGGCCUGGGUCAAGGCUUCAGUCCUCUCCAUAAUGGCUACCCAGCUCCCACUGCUUCAGAGUGCCACCCAGGCACUACUGGAAGCUGGGAUAGAUGCUUCACAUCCCACUGAAGGAGUCCUGAGUGGCAUCAGAACCCUGGUCAAUGAGCAUCAGGGAUACAAAGUGGAGCUUCAGCAUCUGAAGUCAGACCUGGAGGAGCUCCAGGAGAGAGAAGCAAAGUCCAGAGAGUUGCAGGAGCUACUGAGCAUUACCAGAGAGGAGCUGGUACAGCAGAGACAGCAGGUUGGCUCCCACACACACAUACAUGCUUGCGGGCACUCACGCACACUUAAACACACUCACACACACUCCAUAUCUAUUAAAAACGGAUAUAAAAAUGCAUGUACAUGACUGGGAAAGUGGAUUCAAUAGCAAUGCUUUGUUGACAUCCACGAAAAGACGCACAUCUUUAUGUCCCCUUACUUCCAUUGUAGAUGACUGUGGCACAGCAUGAAGAAGAGGCCAGGAAUAAGGAGUUGGAGGAGCUAAAGGGGGAGUUGGAGGCACUCAGACAUGCCCAGGUGAGGGGGCGAGGUGCUGGGAUGGUUUUGACCAAUUUCUCCUAGUCCAGGUCCUUCGAGAACACUGUGGAUGCUGGUUCCAUCAGUCAGUCUGUUUGUUUUGUAAUUCAGUGUGUUAUUAAACUGUCAAAGGAUUCACCCUAAAAGCAGUCAAGUAACACAACAACUAGCCGGUGAUAAAGCUACAUAAAGAUGCAUCUACAAGGAGAACACCUGAAACCGAUAACUAGCAUACACAGUGGUCCACCAGGAAACAGACGUUACAAUCCACCGACUCUCUACGUGUUUCUCUCGCUUCCCAGACUAAACUGCAGCAGGAGGCACAGACCCAGGAGGCUGAGUGGUGCACCAGGCUGGAGGAGGCGGGCAAGAGGGAGAAGGAGUGGCAGGAUAAGGUGAAGGAGGUCUUGGAGGAGGAGAAGGAGCGCUACGGGGUCUGGGAGGCCGAGUACAGGGAGCAGGUGCGGCAGCACGCACACACCAUCGUGGCCCUGGAGCAGCGCUGGGUCCAGAGCAGACAGAGAGCCCAGGAGGUGGAGGAGGAGAGGGACGCACUGAUUGGACAGCUGAGAGGUGAGGGGGGUGGGGGGGUUCAAAGGAGUGGACUGUCUGGCUGUCUGGCUGUCUGGCUGUCUGGCCGUCUGGCCGUCUUGCCGUCUGGUUGGUCUUGUUCUUCUAGGAGGACCCUGGAAGCCUGGGGGAAGAAAAUGGCAUCUGGAUACAGGGCAUCUCUGUGCUUUAACAACAAAUAAUUGGGCAACUUUUGCACCAAAAAAUGUCUGAGUGAGGGAAAUGCUGUAAAUUAAGAGGACUGUAUUUUGAAAGAUGAGACGUUGAGGAUUAUAAUAAAUACCUUUUUAUGUCCUACAAGUAAGCCAAACACCCGUGUCCAAAUGUGCACUUCACAUUUCCAUAUCAUAAAACUCAUGUCAGAUACAGUGUCAACGUUUAUGAUCACUAUGUUUUGAUACCCUGGGUUGUUCUGAACAGAAUGAGCCUAUUGUUGUGUAUUGUAAAGAAAAUGUGCCACUGAACACGCACGAAUGCACGCAGGAAUCCUUUCUAUGCGCACUAAAAUUAAGAUCUGUUUCUCUGAAUUGCCCUGUGAAAGUCUAGCACUGUAAGAUCGUGUUUUAUAACUUAGCUAGGGAUGUUGACAAUAGAACAAGCUUGAUGCCCACAUGACGCAGACUGAGAUUUAUAAUGGUCUGUUUUAGGACAACCCUGCCAUCACACAAUUACAACAACAGUAAUUGUGUGAUGGCAGGGUUGUGUUCCAAAUGAAACAACUACCAGUGUACUGAUAUUUCAGACUCUUCUAUGAGUUAUAUAAGUGCAUUGAAAUUGCUUAGGAACUGUGCACACUUUGGAGAGGUGUGUGGCCACAUGGAGACGCCAGUUAGUCCUCUCAAUCAAACCCAUAGUAGUUUUUUUGUCUUACGUUGCACCUACCCCACAUUUUCCAGGAAUACUUGUAUUUUCAGAUUUCGUUAUCAACAAAUGCGGCGUAUUGCGCAGUAAGUGUAAAAUGCACGUAAAAUCACCAGUGUAAUAUUUGGAUUCAGUCAUGUGUUAGGUGAAUUGUUGUGUCCUCACCUUUAGUCUAAUAAUUUUCCCAUAAUCUCCAAACUGUUCCCUUUCAAUUGCUACCAUGGUUAUGCAUAUGCUUUUCAUAUUUCUUCUGAAAGAAACAUUUCAAUUUAGCCCUAUCCUUAUAUAGUGCCUUCAGAAAGUAUUCACACCCCUUGACAUUUCCACAUUUUGUUGUGUUACAGUUGAGAUUUUGUGUCACUGACCGACACAAUACCCCACAGUGUCAAAGUGGAAUUAUGUUUUUAGAAAUGUUUACAAAUGAAUAAAAAUGUAAAGCUAAUAAGUAUUCAACCACUUUUUUUGGGCAAGCCUAAAUAAGAGUAAAGCGUACUUAACAAGUCACAUUAUAAGCUACAUGGACUCACUCUGUGUGCAAUAAUAGUGUUAAAUAUAUUUUUUAUUAUACAAAAAUUAUGCAGAUAUUGAAUGUUCCUUUGAGCAUGGUGAAGUUAUUAAUUACACUUUGGAUGGUGUAUCAAUACACCCAGUCACUACAAAGAUGCAGGCGUCCUUCCUAACUAAGUUGCCAUAGAGGAAGGAAACCACUCAGGGAUUUCACCAUGAGGCCAAUGGUGACUUUAAAACAGUUACAGAGUUUAAUGGCUGUGAUAGGAGGAACUGUUACUCCACCAUUCUUAGCUAAAUCACAGAGUGAAAAGAAGGAAGCCUGUACAGAAUAAAACAUUUUCCAAAACAUGCAUCCUGUUUGCACGAAAGCACUAAAGUAAAACUGCAAAAAAUGUGGCAAAGAAAUGAACUUCAUGUCCUGAAUACAAAGUGUUAUGUUUGGGGCAAAUCCAACACAACACAUCACUGAGUACCACUCUUCAUAUUUUCAAGCAUGGUGGUGGCUGCAUCAUGUUAUGGUUAUGCUUGUCAUCGGCAAGGACUAGGGAGUUUUGGGGGAUAAAAAUAAAUGGAAUAGAGCUAAGCAACAGGCAAAAUCCUAUUGGAAACCUGGUUCAGUCUGCUUUCCCUCAGACACUGGGAUACAAAUUCAUCUUUCAGUAGGACAAUAACCUUAAACACAAGACCAAAUAUACACUGAAUAUACAAAGAAUAAGGUGCAAAUAUUUUACAAUCCAGGUGGGCAAAGCUCUUAGAGACUUACCCAGAAAGACUCACAGCUGUAAUCGCUACCAAACAUGCUUCUACAAAGUAUUGUAGGGAGGUGAAUAUUUAUGUACAUUUCUCUAUUAAAUUUUCAAUAAAUUUGCUACAAUUUCUAAAAACAUUUGUUCACUCUAUCGUUAUGGUAUAUUGUGUGUAGAUGGGUGAGAAAAUAAUACAUUGAAUCAAAUUUGAAUUCAGGCUGUAACAUAACAAAAUGUGGAAUAAGUCAAGUGGUAUGAAUACUUUCUGAAGGCACUGUUGGUCAGUUCCCACAAGUCUAAAGUAAACAGCAAUGGACACAGUAGUGUGCUUAAUGCAAGGUAGUGCCAUUUUAUGUCACUAGAUGACAGUCACGUGUAAUGCAACGCUAAAAAGCAAUGCUAGAAGCACAUGUUUUCCUCAAUUACGUUACACUUUGCAGUGAAAUGCCAGAGAAUGUAUUAUCAAUGCAUAGUUACACUUGGUGUUACUGGGUGUGAAAUAAACUCAGUAACACUUUACUUAUUCAAAAUUCAAUGCAAAUAACUUUUAUUUCCUGUGAGGGAGCUACAUGUGUGGUGACGAAUUGGUACAUUCAAGACACAUACAGUGGUGUGUAUUCAUGGAUGCCAAGGGAAGCCAGGCUUCCCCAAAUAUUUGAC